UAUUCUGAAAGGCUUAUGUGGAAAAUAAACAAGCGGACACGCGAUGGUUUUACAUCGUUGUUGACAACGCAUAAAAAUAGGUGCUUGUCAGGUCGUGUGGUUAUAUUAAAUAUAAGCGAAAGAGAGAACUUUCAAGAAAUGAAUAUAGCCGCUACAGUGACCAUCAAGACCAUUAAAUUUGGAUAAUAAAACUCGAGGUGGAAACCAGGAGGCAGCCGGAAGAAUACAUCCGAGGACAGGACACAUCAAGAGAACCUGUACGCCGUGUCCCGUACGCCAGAAAGCUGCUCUACCAGGAGCUGCAGUCCGUGAACAUCAUCCCUCGACUCGAGCUGUCGCGCUACAGCGAGUGAGCAGGACAAGGACAGAGAUGUGUUGGGUGGAGACGAGGGUAAGGGGGGGUGAAUUUGUGAGUGAGUGAAAGGGACGGUUUUGUAAAGUCACACACUUCACCGGGAACUGUUUUCUCAGAUAAUCAAUCAGAUGUUUAGAUAAAAACAUGGACUGACUGCACUGAGGUGUAACAUGUGCCUGUGUGUGUGCCAGUUGUGCUCAGUGUGCUGAGGUGAAGCAUCCAAACCACACAGCCUGUUCUUCAAUCCGGGAUCGUGUCCCAAAUCAGAGCUGCGGAAGGGUAAGCGUCACAGUGAGUGUGCUGCAGCUGAUGUUGACCUGAAAAAUCGUGUCUCGCAGGUACAGUCUGCAGUCUGUGAAGUGGGGCUCCUGCUGCUCAGGUGUUCUCACUGAAGUCCGUUUCACCUGAUGAGAGGAGGCAGCUCUGACUUGGGGCUGUUCAAGAAUGAGCGCCACUUGAUCUGGUUCCACCUCUACCACAGGCAGAGAAACACAGGCCUGGACUCUUUGUUGGCCAGACAAAAUCAGAAACGGAAAUCAUUGGUUUUUACAACUGGGUCCAGUUCCACCUGCAUAGGAUAUGAGGCCAGGGAGCAUGAUUUGGUAAGUAUAACAUUUCACCAGACAGAAGAGUUUGAUUUCCUUUGAUUUCAGUAUUCUCAGCCGGUCGGCCUCAUGUGUGCCUGAUCACAAGUCGGUCCACUUCAUACAUGCACAGUAGCGCAGGCAAAUAGUUGCUCACACGCUCACUGUGGCCAUUAUUGAGCUCACGUUGGGUGGAGAUGAGAAGUUUCAAAGAGAUUUAAUUUAUAUAUUUUAUAUAAUAAAGUAAAUGUACGAAUGACCGGCAAUAAUUCAGUCACUGAAAUUAUCCAUGAAAUUAGCUAAAUGUAACAGUAAAAACUAAAUAUUAAACAUUAUUGUACAGCACGUAAGAUCGACAGUGCCCAGUGUGCUUUGAGGUAGGAGCCAAAAAGGAUGUAGUUUGUGUGUGUGAGCACCCGUGUGUA